CCAACAGGGAUUGCCUCAGUAACGGCGAGUGAAGCGGCAAAAGCUCAAAUUUGAAAUCUGGCAUCUUUGGUGUCCGAGUUGUACUUUGGAGAGGCAUCUUCUGGAGGGGCCCAGCCUAUGUGCCUUGGAACAGGACGUCAUAGAGGGUGAGAAUCCCGUCCUUGGCUGGAUGUUCCCUCCUGUAUGUAGUGUCUUCUACGAGUCGAGUUGUUUGGGAAUGCAGCUCAAAAUGGGUGGUAAAUUUCAUCUAAAGCUAAAUAUUGGCGAGAGACCGAUAGCGCACAAGUAGAGUGAUCGAAAGAUGAAAAGCACUUUGAAAAUAGAGUCAAACAGUACGUGAAAUUGUUGAAAGGGAAGCGCUUGAGACCAGCGUCAGCCUUUGGCAAACAACUGUCCAUUUAGGGGCGGUGCACUUGUUAUUGGUUGGGCCAGCAUCGGUUGGGACGGCAGGAUAAAGGCCCGGGGAAUGUGACUCCUUCAUGGAGUGUUAUAGUCCUGGGCGGCAU
rnacentral:rRNA from 1 species